AGCAUAUCAUAAGCGGAGGAAAAGAAACCAACAGGGAUUGCCCCAGUAACGGCGAGUGAAGCGGCAAAAGCUCAAAUUUGAAAUCUGGCCUCCUACGGGGGUCCGAGUUGUAAUUUGUAGAGGAUGCUUCGGGUGUGGCCGCCGUCUAAGUUCCUUGGAACAGGACGUCAGAGAGGGUGAGAAUCCCGUCUUGGGCGGCCGGUCCGCGCCCGUGUGAAGCUCCUUCGAAGAGUCGAGUUGUUUGGGAAUGCAGCUCUAAGCGGGUGGUAAAUUUCAUCUAAAGCUAAAUACUGGUCGGAGACCGAUAGCGCACAAGUAGAGUGAUCGAAAGGUUAAAAGCACCUUGAAAAGGGAGUUAAACAGCACGUGAAAUUGUUGAAAGGGAAGCGCUUGCGGCCAGACUCGGGGGCGGGGUUCAGCGGGUGCUCGUCGCCCGUGCACUCCCCGUCUCCCGGGCCAGCAUCAGUUUCGACGGCCGGUCAAAGGCCUCCGGAAUGUGUCGUCUCUCGGGACGUCUUAUAGCCGGGGGUGCAAUGCGGCCCGUCGGGACUGAGGAACGCGCUUCGGCUCGGAUGCUGGCGUAAUGGCCGUAAGCGGCCCGUCUUGAAACACGGACCAAGGAGUCUAACAUCCACGCGAGUGUUCGGGUGUCAAACCCGUGCGCGCAGUGAAAGCGAACGGAGGUGGGAGCCUUAGGGCGCACCAUCGACCGAUCCUGAAGUCUUCGGAUGGAUUUGAGUAGGAGCGUGGCCGUUGGGACCCGAAAGAUGGUGAACUAUGCCUGAAUAGGGUGAAGCCCAGAGGAAACUCUGGUGGAGGCUCGCAGCGGUUCUGACGUGCAAAUCGAUCGUCAAAUUUGGGCAUAGGGGCGAAAGACUAAUCGAUAUCUAGUAGCUGGCUCUGCG
rnacentral:rRNA from 1 species